GACGAACGCUGGCGGCGUGCUUAACACAUGCAAGUCGAACGGAAAGGCCUCUUUCGGGGGGUACACGAGUGGCGAACGGGUGAGUAACACGUGAGUAACCUGCCCUUGACUUUGGGAUAACUUCAGGAAACUGGGGCUAAUACCGGAUAGGAGCUCCUGCUGCAUGGUGGGGGUUGGAAAGUUUCGGCGGUUGGGGAUGGACUCGCGGCUUAUCAGCUUGUUGGUGGGGUAGUGGCUUACCAAGGCUUUGACGGGUAGCCGGCCUGAGAGGGUGACCGGCCACAUUGGGACUGAGAUACGGCCCAGACUCCUACGGGAGGCAGCAGUGGGGAAUAUUGCACAAUGGGUGGAAGCCUGAUGCAGCAACGCCGUGUGCGGGAUGACGGCCUUCGGGUUGUAAACCGCUUUCGCUCAUGACGAAGCUUUGUGUGACGGUAGUGGGUAAAGAAGCACCGGCUAACUACGUG
rnacentral:rRNA from 1 species